ACCACGUGCCGCCGCCCGACCCCUGGAUCCUCCCGACUACUUCUGUCGCCCACGAGGUUCUCACCCACCUUUCCCACCUCUGGUUCUCCGAUGGAGCUGGUGGGCGACAGUGGUAAGCUCGUCUUGCACACCUUUCUGCCGCUACACCUUCUCCUCCGGCCUGCUCCCUCUCGAAUAUUUGGACUGAUGCUUCCAUUGGUGGAGGUUCUGGAAUUCCCGCACCCAACGCGCCGCCACAAGGUUCCGCUUCUUCCCCUGCCGCUGUGGCCCUCCGCUUCUAGGCUCCCCUUGCUUGCUUCCUACCCAUGUUCCCUUCCCCAGCCAGCUGAACCACCUUUCUCCAACUCUCUGAACCGCCCCGAGCGCCCCUGCUGAACCUUCCAUCUCUGUUGUUUGCUCCUGGGAGUGACAUGGGAGUGGCCCAUUUCGUGCGACCACACACGCAGCUCUUGGCUAGCAGCCACACUGGCUGGUCGCCUCCAAGCUUGAGGAUACAAGUUGGUUGCUUCUUGUCGCGAGCACACCAAAUGGAUCUCUGCUUCCGGCCGCGGUGGGAACUCCAGAAUAAAAAUAUGAUGUAUGCAUUGCUUCUUGGCCCAGCUGAGAGAACACUCAUGUUAAAAACUAUAAAGCAGUUUUGAAGCAAUUCCCAGUGUCUUUAGAAGCAUUCCUGGUUAAAAAAGCAAUGACAACCUCCUCCGUUCGAGUUGAGCACUGGUCAUCGUCCAAGUUGACCAGUAGGUGCCGUCCAAGUUCAAAGAGGGUUUUGACAAUAUUCUAUAUGAUUCAUUUGUUUUAGUGAGAAAAAAUGCGGGGUUUUGACAAUAUUCUGUAUGAUUCAUUUGUUCAACCUUAGAACAUGGCAAUAUUCAGUCUAUUUUUCUAUGAUGAAGGCACACAUGAAGUCUUGUGCAAUGGGUAUCCCCCUUGUGCUUCAAA